GCCCCGGAUGAGCCUGCGAGAGGGCUGGGCUGCAGGAGGAGCAGCUCCGCUCCACAAGCCUUGUUGCAAGCAGGAGAACCAGGGGGGCAUCUGCACUGCACUGCACAGCACAAAUCACUCAGUUUGACACCACUCCAACUGCCCUGGCUCCACCUGAAAAGGAAGCCUUGCAAACAAGAAAAGCAGAGGGAGAUUGGGAGAGAGGAUGGGGGUGCACCUGCACUGGAGAAAUGACCCCCUUUGAAUGGCCCUGGCUCCAUCUUGCAAGGAAGGCUGGCCAGAAGGAAAACCAAGGGAGAGUUGGAGAGAGGAUGGGAGGCACCUGCACUGUAGAAAUAAUGUAGUUUGACAGCACUUGAACUGCCCUGGCUCCAUCCUAAAAGGAAGCCUUGCAAGCAGGAGAACUAGGGGAAGAUGUGGAGAGAGGUUGUUCGGUGUCAUGCCUUGAUCAAGAAUCGUUUCCCAUUACGUCCUGAGGUCUCCUUCUCCAUUAGAUGUCUCAGUUUAAAAUGUUCAGACUGCAAGGAUGCCUAAAUGAGGUUGCCUCAAUUACCGGAAGCGGGUGCGACACAGGCAUGUCCGGACUAGUCCCUGAGCGAUUACGAGCUUGAUUCUGCUGUUGCUAGUUAUCAAAAAAGGCAUUACAUUCAACAGAAAUAAACAAUUUGUAAAACUA